GCCCGUUUACACACAGGUGUUCAGAGACGCAGAUAGCUAAUUAGCACAGGUAGUCCACUCUGUUUUCUGUUAACAAGCACAGUAACAUGGAAAUAUGCCCGUGUGAGAAUCCUAACCCUAUCAAGGUCCUUUGGUGCUGUAUCCAUGUGAAGUUCCUCUGAUAUCAGCUUGACCACGUAGCUGUAAAUGUCCCCUUUUCCCUCGUCUUCGGAUAGUGAUUCACGCUGGCUCUGAGGCGGAGGGUAAUGAAAGGGAGAGGAGAGGAAAAUAAAAAUGUGAGGAGAAGAAAAUGAGAAGUAGGGAUAUUCAGCAGGUUUACCUACCUUCUCCAAACACACUGGCUUUACCAGCUCUUACCCACUAGGUGGCACCACAUCAACAGGUAACAGAGAGUUCCGAGGACAGUCUCUGCUUGCAACACGGGUCCUUGUGACUCUGGGAGAGUCAAGGUCAGUCGUCUCCACAGCAACCUGAGGAUAACAGGGACGACCCGCCCUUCUGUAGCCUGUCCUGGUGGAAUGCCACCGCCCCCUCUCUCAGCUGGCUGUCAGUCAAGCGGGGUUCAGCAGGUUUGGCCAAUCAGCACAGCCAAUUCGGAACUCCUCCCACAACAACAGGAUGCACACCUCUUCCCCACAAAUACACACCAUCAAAACAGUGAAGUAAACACACACACAUGCAUGCA